AUUGAACGCUGGCGGCGUGCUUAACACAUGCAAGUCGAGCGGUAACAGGCGUAGCAAUACGUGCUGACGAGCGGCGAACGGGUGCGUAAUACAUGGGAAUCUGCCUUUUAGUGGGGAAUAACCCGGCGAAAGCCGGGCUAAUGCCGCAUAAGAUCUUCGGAUGAAAGCGGGGGAUCGUAAGACCUCGCGCUGAUAGAUGAGCCCAUGCCGGAUUAGCUAGUUGGUGAGGUAACGGCGCGCCAAGGCGACGAUCCGUAGCUGGUUUGAGAGGACGGCCAGCCACACUGGGACUGAGACACGGCCCAGACUCCUACGGGAGGCAGCAGUGGGGAAUAUUGGACAAUGGGGGAAACCCUGAUCCAGCGACGCCGCGUGUGUGAAGAAGGCCUGCGGGUUGUAAAGCACUUUCGGUGGGAACGAAAUAUGCCGGGCUAAUACCCCGGUAGGCUGACGUUACUCAAUGAAGAAGCACCGGCUAACUCUGUGCCAGCCGCCGCAGUAACAC
rnacentral:rRNA from 1 species